rnacentral:rRNA from 1 species
AACGAACGCUGGCGGCAGGCUUAACACAUGCAAGUCGAGCGCCCCGCAAGGGGAGCGGCAGACGGGUGAGUAACGCGUGGGAACGUGCCCUUUGGUUCGGAACAACUCCGGGAAACUGGAGCUAAUACCGGAUAAGCCCUUCGGGGGAAAGAUUUAUCGCCAAAGGAUCGGCCCGCGUCUGAUUAGCUAGUUGGUGAGGUAAUGGCUCACCAAGGCGACGAUCAGUAGCUGGUCUGAGAGGAUGAUCAGCCACACUGGGACUGAGACACGGCCCAGACUCCUACGGGAGGCAGCAGUGGGGAAUAUUGGACAAUGGGCGCAAGCCUGAUCCAGCCAUGCCGCGUGAGUGAUGAAGGCCUUAGGGUUGUAAAGCUCUUUUGUCCGGGAAGAUAAUGACUGUACCGGAAGAAUAAGCCCCGGCUAACUUCGUGCCAGCAGCCGCCGUAACAC